rnacentral:lncRNA from 1 species
AUUCGACAUGAGAUUUGGGAGAUGACACAAAACCAAACCAUAUCAGUCUUUAAAGAGUUAAGUUAAAAUAAGCUCUUUAAAGUGGGCCCUAAUCCAGUAUGACUGGUGUUCUUAUAAGAAGAGGAGAUUUGGUCACAGACAUGGUUGCAUGCAGAAUAAAGACUUUUCGAGGACACACUGAGAAGGCAGCCAUCUGCAAAACAAGGAAAGAGUCCUCAGCAGAAACCAGUCCUGCAGACUCCUUGAUCUUGGACUUCCAGCCACUGCAAUUGAUGUCAAGCUUCAGCACCCUUGCAUCUCUGGAUAAAUGAAAUGUCACCCCAGCUGCCGUCCUUGUUCAGAUCUGUGCAAUAAAGAGCAAAGCAUAAAACCAAGUCAAGGCUUUGAGGGAGUGACCUACAAAAUGCAUAAUGUGAAACAAUGCAAAAGCGAAAGGUGCAAAAUCCCCAUCAAAGAGCUGGAGGCUGACAGAUGCGCCAGUGAUAAUUCCCAUCUUCCAACACAGGAGCACAGCUUCCAUUUUCCAUAACAGAACAACAGCCAGAGCAGCUGGAAGGCAGGGCCGCAUCCCAGACUUCCACCAACAAUGGGAUGAGACUUGACAUCUGGAAUCACAACCACAACAGACCUGAGAGACCCACCAGCUUGAUGACAAGCUUCUUCUUUCAAAGAAAGUUUUAGGCGGUCAUGACCAUGGGAUGCUGGACCAGGAUGGUAAGCUUCAGGAAACAGAAUCUGGAGAAUGCCCAGCUGCUCCCACAGGAAGCAUCAGGGAAGAAGAAGAAGAGGUGUGAAGUCUGCCUUCUGCUCUGCUGGGAUCCCUUUCACAUCUCCUUUGCCUCCAGGCAGUUUUGGUUCCUGGCCAUUUCCAGGUGUGACUCACUCAGGAUGGUAAGCAUCUUCUCUCCUACCCAGAGUAGAGGAUGAAGACCUCAUCUCAGAGGUUGAAGGGAGCUCCAGAGAGAGGUCUCAAACUUCCAGCAUUAACUGCUAAAGAAGCUUCAUGAGCUGCUGGAGAACCUGGGAAAUGACCAAUUAUAGGGACAGAGCUCAAAUACUCUGGGACACUCUAGUAGCUGAGAAAGUUCCAACUCCAGGGUGAUAGAGGACUGCCUGGCAAACCAUCAUCAAAGCAGAAGACCUGAUACUAACAUCACAGGCUAUGGUUUAUUACUGAAGAUCAGUGCUUACACCCUGCCAGAGGUUCAGAAGCAAACUUAUCAUUGUUCUCCCUGGAGAUGUUGGCCCACAUUCUGAAAAGUGUGGUCAGUAGUAGCAACAGAAAGCAAUUGUGCUUGCCAAGCACAAUGUCACUGUCCCCAGCCCUUCCCCCAACACAACCCAGUAGGUGCUUCCUGGCUGCAAACUUGGGAAAGUCACUUGACCUGUCUGAGGUUCCACUUCCUAAUCUGGCCUGGCGAAGAUAAGAAAAACAGUUUAUUUAAAGUGUCUAGCAAAGUGCUUGGACCAAAAUAGGACCUCUGAAAUGGUUAUGGUAGUGCUGUUAAGGUGAUGUUUUAAGUGCUGAUGAGCACAAAGAUGGGUAAGAUAUUCCUUCUGUUAAAAUCUACAGUCUAAUGAGAGAGAACAAGAUGAAUGCACAAUAACUGUCAUUCAGAACAGGAUUAUGAGAAGGUGUGAAUUUCUGUGAAAAAUCAGAACAGGGAGUAAUAUGAUCCCAGGUGAUUGGCAGGGGGUGGGGGUCUGGAUUCAACUGGAGAGGGAGCUGGCAGGGAAGGCUUCCUGGAGGAUGAGAGUUCAACAAGGGGCAGGUGUAGGAUGUGGGUGGCCAAGUGACUGGGCAGAAGGAGCUGCAGAAGUAAGACCCCAAAUCAGGAAGACAAGGGCCUGCUGAGAAACACGAGCUACAAAGUGCAAGUGCAGGAAGAGUUGGGAUGAGAUUAGAAGGGGGUCUGGGGCCAGACUGUGGAAGGCCCAAAUGCCGGGCUAAGGAGUUUGUACUUAAUUCAGUGGUCAACGGGGAGUCAUUGGAGGCUGUUGAGCAGGAGAGUUGCUUUCUUUACAGCUGUGCCAGACUAAAUUAAACCUAAACAGUACUUUAUAGCUGGAAAGGGAAGGCCCAGGAAUAGCUCUUGACUCAGAAACAGGCAUUGGGGAAGGUAAUGAGAAACAGCCGUGACUGAUCAAAGCAGAGAGGUUAAUUAAAUUUGUAAUUAUUGUGAAAGGCCAUUAAAAACCCUAGUUCACUAGAGAUAACUGCUCUAGUGGGGCUUCAAAGACAAACGCUUCUUUUAACCUUGAAUAGGGGGAUGUUUGCUUCUCUGUGGAGGAGAUAUGAUUAAGAUACUUAAUAAAUGGUAGAUAAACAUGCA